GCCGAUGCCUUCGGCGUCCCUGCCGCAAAUGCCGCAAAACUUAUCGCUUUUCGGGUUCGACGUAGCGAUCCCAAAGUUCAUCAACAAGAUGGUAAAGGAGCACACAGAUUCCUGAAGGAAAGCAAAGCUUCUUUGUUGAUGGUGCAUGCACGAGCACGACAUGGUUUGAUCCCAAGGCCAAGCUUGCCCUGAGGAGAGUUCUCGAUGUUGCUGCCAUGAGUUGUAUCUGUAUUUUCUAAUGAAAGCGUUGCUUGCAUAUUGCCAAAUUCGUUCGUUACGACGGGAGCAAGGUGAUUAGAAUAUGUAAAAAUAGGAAUAAAUCGAGAUGCAAAUAUUGAAGUAUUCGUCUCAGGAAUCCUUUUAUGCAAUUCUUUUCUUUCAGAUAACUGCUCGCACUAUGUGUUACAUCUACGGGGAAGGGAUUUUUUUUGAGAGUGAUCUGCGCCGGCGCGGCGGCGGAAACUUUGGGCUGGCUGCGUGCACGCCGUACGAUCCACCAAC
rnacentral:lncRNA from 1 species